ACAACAUUAAAGCACACCAUCCAAGUAUGUUUAAUUUCUUAAAAAAAAAAUUAUCUGCCAUUCAUAUAAUGUCAUUCCACAAUGAAAAUGAGGAAAUGGAGAAUACUAUCGAACAGCCGCCAAUAAUUGAAGAACAAUCAACAGUUGACGAACCAUUGAUCGAAGAUCGAGAAAUUGUUAUCCCCCAGCCACGUCGCAGUGCUCGCAUCGCAGCCAGGCAGGAGCUGAAACGCAAAUUGAUCGUGGAGGAAGGGCAGCGGGAGGAGCAGCGGAAGAAGCGCUUUCGUGCCGAGCAAAUGGCAAGGGUAAUGCAGAAAGUGGCGCAUGGCAAACCCUGUGUCUGCCUCAAAGUAAACAAUGAAUUACAUUGGCUAUUUGACAUCGAAAUAAAAAACCCUCAAAAUGGAUUAUAAGGAUUGAUGUGCAACACACAGUUGAUUAUUUGUUAAUAUAUUUGAGUUUUAAAAUGAAUUUAACAGACACCCAAAAAAAAUCAUUCGCAAAAAAAGUCGAACAAUAUCAACUAUAUAAAUCUAAAAAACAUCGGAAAAGAAUGCAGUGAACAAAUAUAUCAAGAUCAAAAAUAAUCUCUGCGACAAAAAGAAGUGCCUAUGAACGAAGAGCCAGUAAUCGCAGAAUCAGAAAUCGAAGUAUGCUUAAUCGAAGAUGCAGUAAUCGAAGAUUCAGUUCUGUCCCCUCCUCGUCCACCAUAUCCUGGCGCAAAGGCCAAACUUUGCCUUAGCCUUAAAAAGGAAAAUAAGAUUUGAUGCGUUGAGAUUUUAAGUUGUCAGUUUAUCAAAUAUAAAUAAAUGAAUUCUUCAAAAUGUA
rnacentral:sRNA from 1 species